GACAUCUCUGUCAUCAGAAAGGACAACACACUGAUUAAGCCGCGCGUUGUGAAACUGACUUCAGGUCAAUAUUUUAAUGGCAGUCGAGGCCCUGGGAUCAGCGCGGCCGUGCUCGGAUUACCUCCACGGCUUGAACUGAACCCUCAUCCUGCCGCUGCUGACAUGAUGCUGUGGCCGCUGUUGACACCAGACCCUUGUCUAGCCCUCCAACACUGUCAGGCCUCAUUAUAUGUCAGCUCUUGACCGUCACAAGACUGGGAAUUAACCAGCGCUGACAGACGCCUGUCACCACCAGCCAGAGAGGUCACUGCCGUUAAUGCAGUUUCAGGAAGAUGAUAGCCAUCUAUGCCAAGUUUAUGGAGCUCAUGGCUCAUCAAUGUGGCAUCAUGAUAGAGCUGUAAUAUGGCAUAGAGGAAUAAAGCAAGAGAGAAAGGGUCAGAGCAGGGCUGAGGCACAAGCAGACACAGAGGGGCACAUUGACCGGUUGAAAGAUGGCUAUCUCUAUGAUUGAUAUAGCAUGUCUGUGUUUUUCAAAUAUUGACAUUUUUGAAAAAUGGUGAUAUCAGAAGUAAGGUUUAGCUUAGUGUAUACCGAGCCCACACGCAAUCCAGGGAAUACCACUUGAAAACAAGAAAAUUCAUCCACUCACGGUGUGAAAUUCUAAUAAUUGUCCUUACUUUGUCGUUGAAUGGUAUGAAAUCUGUCACAGUACAUGAACCAUAAUCAUAAAUCCAAUGCAACUACUGUGCAAAUGGCUAGGGACAUUACAGAUAACUGAAUUCUGCACAGGCUCAACAGUGCGACAAUGAAGCAAUACCUUGCUAAUACCAGGACUUUUCAACAAUAGCCUGUAGUAUGUGCCGCAGCGCUUCACAGCUUCAGUGAGCCAAGAGCCUUCGAGUCGGCAGAAUCCCAAACAUCAUGACAACAAGCCAUCAGUCAUCUUCCCCCCAAGCUGCUGUGCACACUUGUGUGUUUCCGGAGUUCUUACUGUGGGAAAUGAGCAGGGUUAAACAUGAAACAGGAGGAAAUGUUCAUCAUUGCAGCACUCUCUGUAAUAUUCUCCCUCAUACAGCAUUGUUUUCGCUGCAGGGAAAGAGAAGGAGUGGUUUUUAAUUUUUUAAACAUCCCCUGCUUGCUCACAAUGCAAAUCAGUAGUCUACUGUGCAUGCUAAUCAUGGUUAAUAGCAAAAUGCUGAUAGAAAAAUGACAAUGUAUUAAUAAAGCACCAAUCUUCUGUUGAGGUUCAAGGAAGGACUGUUCCUGCAGACAGGAAAUAUUUCAACCUUGGAAAAGUUUGAAAGUUAAAAUCAUCUUGUUUCACAAUGUCUGGCAGUGUCAUGAAACUUGUGUCAGCUUCUUCAAUGAAGCCACAAGACUCCAUGAAUUUUAUGGCUGCAUGUUCCAUCAAAUGGAAAUAUUCUAGAUGUCUUAUGCAUAAUUUUAUACACAUUUCCCCAAAGUUCAGGUUUCAGGCAAGACAUGUUUUGCAUUUUUGGAAAACUUUGGUGUCGCCAGUAGAGUAAAGUAAUCUGGUUUAGAACAACUUGUGACUGCACAUCAUGAGUUUGUAAUGAUUGGACCACUGUCACUACAGAGAUACUGGUAGAAAAAUGACACUGCUGUAAUGUUACUGUUUCAGAAGUGUUUAGUUUUAACAUUUGAGGUUUUACAUGGAUUAUUCAUGCAGUCAAUAAAAUAAAAAUGUCAGUCUUGUGUCAAAUGUCCCAGUUUUAACACUUGUGUAGUGGUGAAAAUAGCAUUACUUCCUCAUGUUUUGGUAUCCCACAACCCAACUGCUGUAUGUGUAAAAAAAGACAACAACAUCAACACAACACAUUUAGUUUUCUUUAAAAACCUUUUGGAUUUUCUUCUAAAAAGUAGGAAACAUGUGAUGAAUAUGAUAAACGAUGGAAAUGACCAUGACACAUUUCAUGUUUUAUAUGUGAUGCUAUGCAUGAGCAAAUAUAUGUUCAUUUUGUUUGCCAAAAAGUCAUUUGCAGGCAAGGAAAUAUAAAGCAUGUUAUCCUACAUUGUGAUAAUGUUUAGGGUCAAUUAGACCCUAGAGACUUAUUUGGGAUUUGGAAGGUGUGAAGUACUGUCAACACCAAUCACAGAUGUGGAGUAAAUGUGAAUUAUCAUAUUAUCAUAUUUUUCCGUAUUUAACAGCUGGGUCUUAUGUCUGGAUAUACAUAAGUAUUCUGAUACAUAUCCAAAAAAAAAUAAUUUCUGGUAUUUUUCUGUUAAUAUCUUUAUGUCCUUUUGUUGUUUGUGAGAUUAUUUUCAGCCACCUUUUUAAUAGUUUUGAUUACAACCGGUGCAUUGAUUAGAUUCUGUGUAAUAAAGCCAUAGUGUGUUAAAUA